CAUCUGGCCUCUCCACACAGGCUCCCCACACCCAUUUCCGCAUUCCAAUCUCAGUCCUGCACUCAUCAGCAAACUAGGCACUUGGCCUGCCGGAAUUUAAAAAAUUCCCUCUGAGAAUUGCCCUAUUGCAGCUUGCCCCAUACGUCCUCAGCCAGCCCACUUGCCAGCAGCCCCACCUGGCUGCCAAUGGCGGUUCGCCUCGUCCAUGCCCAGUCCCUUCAUAACCAAUGAGACUACCUCCGCUUUGUUUCCCCCACAGCCUAUCAACUACCUCCACUCCCUAUACAACCCCAUGCCCUAAGAAGAGAAGCGUGACUUCUCUGGCCCCUUUCCCGGACCAUAGAACCUCACCUGGGAGCUGAAUAAAUUGGCUUUUACUUUUUUACUCCGAUCUCCAUUUCCUCCUGUAACUUGGCAAUAAACCUUACAUCUGGUGCCAAAACCCUGCCAGACCAGGAGCCUCUCGCCCCGAGUGGCUGCUGGUAUAGGAGGCGGAGCAAUGGGCUACAGCGUUACUUCAGCAGCUCAGCUAGAAGACAAGCUCCAUGUAGCUAUUGAAGCUUCAGCUCCCUCUCUGGCAUCCCUUCAAGGACAAAUCACGUUGCUAGCUCAGUUAACUCCAAAACCGGCAGGCCCUAGACCUGCUGACGACGGAGAAAGGAGGUAAGUGUUUAUUUCUUCAGGAGCACUGUUGCUAUUACGUCAAUGAAACAGGCCAAGUGGAGGAAAAUGUCAACACUCUCUAUCGCCUCCAAGAAGACCUCCUAAGAAAACAAAACGCACCAGCCUCCUCUCUUAACUGGUGACAGUUCCCUGUGUUCACCUGGCUAGUUCCCAUUAUCAUCCCCCUCAUCAUGGUUUGUCUUUUGCUAAUGUUAGCCCCGUUCUUUCUUUGGUUUUUACAAGCUCGCAUAAGAGAAAUCUCCAGGACAGCAGUAAACCAAAUGCUGCUUCACGCCUAUGUCUGACUCCCAACCGAGGCACCGGCCAACUGACCUCCCUACUCCACCCCUGUUCAGCAGGAAGUAACCAGAAAGAAGCAACAUCCUAUGUCAUCGAAAAGAUCGGAAUCCAAUCAAUUACCUCCAUUCUCUGUACAACCCCACGCCCUAAGAAGAGAAGCACUUCUCUGGCCCCUUUCCCCGACCAUAGAACCUCGUCUGGGAGCUGAAUAAAUUGGCU
rnacentral:lncRNA from 1 species